rnacentral:tmRNA from 4 species
GGGGAUGUUUAGGAUUCGACAGGGAUGCUGAUUUAUUUAAUUGCACGUAAGAGAUUCCGCUCUUUAAAAACGGUACAGUUUAUAAUAACUGACAACAAUAAAUCAUUAGCUUUAGCGGCUUAAUUUGCUAAAGACUGAUUACCAGAUAUGACUGUGUUCUGGAUAAUCGGUUCAUUAAUUUACAGUCUAUAUCUAGAUUCUUCUGUUUGUAGAAUUUAGACUGAAUCUAAUCAAACUCGUUUUUUAUAGCUUGUUUGUCAGCUUAAAUAAAAAAUUAAAUUUAGUAGAUAAACUAAACGUGUAGAGGUUAGGUGAAGGUAUUCUUGGACGCGGGUUCAAAUCCCGCCAUCUCCAUUU